AUGAACGCUAGCUACAGGCUUAACACAUGCAAGCGAGGGGCAGCACAAGGAGCAAUCUGAGGUGGCGACCGGCGCACGGGUGAGUAACACGUAUGCAACCUGCCUGUAAGCGGGGUAUAACCCGUUGAAAGACGGACUAAUACCGCAUAAUACUAAAUUACUGCAUGGUAAUUUAUUUAAACAUUUAUGGCUUACAGAUGGGCAUGCGCAUGAUUAGCUAGUUGGAGAGGUAACGGCUCCCCAAGGCAACGAUCAUUAGGGGUUCUGAGAGGAAGGUCCCCCACACUGGUACUGAGACACGGACCAGACUCCUACGGGAGGCAGCAGUGAGGAAUAUUGGUCAAUGGACGAGAGUCUGAACCAGCCAAGUCGCGUGCAGGAAGAAUGUCCUUAAUGGAUUGUAAACUGCUUUUGCAGGGGAAUAAAGUGCAUCACGUGUGAUGUUUUGUAUGUACUCUGCGAAUAAGGAUCGGCUAACUCCGUGCCAGCAGCGGC
rnacentral:rRNA from 1 species